GUGCUCGAGGGCAGCUCCAGCCUGGGCCCUUCCAGAAGGACCCUCCCCAUCUCCGUCUACAUCUACGCCCAGGGAGGUCAAAGGCAUCAGGAGAGGUGCAUGGGCCGAGAACCCCAGGACCACAGGCACGCUGCUGGCCCCGCCCAGGUCCGGGCUCCCCAAGGCCUCACUGUGACCUCACUCCCUCACGGGGGAAGAGGUCAGAGCCAGGGAGUCCCCUCCAAGUUCCCCUCGAGCCACCCAGGCCGAAUCCAGGGGCUGCCCGGAGGAGGGGUUGGCAGCAGGUCCAGAAACUGAGAUGACGGAGGCCAGGAUUCCAGGAAGGGGACACAUGAGGACAGGCUUCCUGGUUUCCAGUGGGGAGAGGCCAUGAGGCCAUCCCCCUCAGCAGGUGGGGCUUGGGGUGGGGGGGCACCGUGACCCUUCACUUCCCUGCUGGCCCACCCUCUGUCCGGCAGACACACGUCUCUUUUCCUUGACCACGGGCGGGGGCUGCCCCCUGGACUGGGCCCCGUUCCUUGAUCCUGUGUGGGAGGCUCUGGUGAGAAAGAGAGCUGGUAACGGGGGGUGGGGGUGAGGGGACACAUCAGAGAUUGGGGGCGCGGCGCGGGGACUCCAACUUGCAGAGGGAGGGGUGGACACUCAACAAAGACCUGGGUCCUGUUGUUUUAAAUAAGAAAUUUAUUGCAAAUAUAGAAAUUGAUUCUCUCCAUACAGGAAUCUCCAAGUUGAGGAAAACAAUUUCGUGCCAUUCAGUUUAAAAUAGGAAAUUGGGAGGGAGAGGCAGAUACAGGGAAGAGAAAAUAAAUGAAGUCACCCCCCCCACCCUGAAAAGAAGAAAAGGAGCGUACAUCCCCCCCCACCCAAGGAGGAAAAGGUCCGGUCCACACAGCGAAGGUUCACAGGUUCGUAGCCCGGGGGCCCGGAGCCCAACUCUGCAGGACCCAAACCAGGUGCCAAGCCGCGAGGCAGGGCCGAGGGGCUGGUGGCUCCUCGGGGAGGGAAGGAGCGAGCGAGGGUGGACCCUCG
rnacentral:lncRNA from 1 species